UACGGAGGUGGGCAAGCGUUGUUCGGAUUUACUGGGUGUAAAGGGUGUGUAGGUGGUCAGGUAAGUUAGAUGUGAAAGCCUACGGCUCAACCGUAGAAUGGCAUUUAAAACUGCUUGACUUGAGUACAUGAGAGGAAAGGGGAAUUCUCGGUGUAAGGGUGAAAUCUGUAGAUAUCGAGAGGAACACCAGCGGCGAAGGCGCCUUUCUGGCAUGUAACUGACACUGAGACACGAAAGCGUGGGGAGCAAACAGGAUUAGAUACCCCUGUA
rnacentral:rRNA from 1 species